rnacentral:lncRNA from 1 species
AAGAAUUUGCUUCUUGUUGGCUUUACUAAAAAUAGUGAUUGUUUUCUUGUUUUGUAUAAUAACUAAAGCUUUUUUUUUUUCCCUAGACAAAUCAGCAUUUAAAGAAAGAGUACAUGGGAAUUGCUGGACCAGGGCCCAUGGAGAAUUCACAUCCUACCAGGGGCUGAGAAGCAACACAAAAGUGGGGUGGUUGGGUCUAGGUUGGUAUGUUUAGAAGAGAAGGUUCAUUGAUAAUGGUGAACCAUCCAUAGAGUACUUCUAGAAUGUAGGAUAGGGUGAUAUGGAAAUCUCUCUCUACAGGAGCCCAGCACUCUUCCCCAGUAAUGAUUUCUGUUCCAUAAAUGCAUUCCUUUCCUAACAGUUUGCAAUUCCUGUGGUUAAUGACGUCUUUAGGAGCUAUCACUGUGUCUCCAUUUUCUUCCAUUUCAAAAAGCCAGCCUUUGGGAAGAUUUCAGAAUGAGAUGAGGAGGCCACCCUAUCCUCUUAAGAUAAACCAAAAAGAUAAUUGCCACAGUCCUUGGCAAUAAGAGAUCUCUGCACUCCCUUCAGCAACCAUCAAUGCUAUCUGUGAGGGACCUCUCCUUUCAAACAGAAAGCUGCAGUGCUGAGACUUAGGCAGAGUGUAGAAUAAGGCCUAGAGACCUGAAAUCAGACUGGACCAGCUCUCUUUCUAGAAAAAGGGAAGUUCCAUUUCACAUUCACUCCUCUGGACUGCCCAGAGUCAGUUAGGGCACCUGUGGGAGCACAUCUUUUGAACUUUGUGAGGACCUCAGACAUAUGCAUCUGCUACCAUACUCCAGCUACCCUAGGGAUGCUGUAAUUUGAAACAAAGCCUCCCACUAUGGCCUUUCCCUCCACCAUCUACCCCACUCUCUUCCUCUUUCUCUGGGGUGAUCUACCCCAGGAUUUAAGAAUGUUGGUCAGAUAUUUCACAUGCCUCUAGUACCCAAGUAGCCUAUUAAAAGCAUAACAAUCCUACA